UCCCUGGAGCAGGAAUGUAGCUAUGCAAAGAGAAAGUACAGUCAUGAAGAAAACUCUGAAGGCAGUUAGCCUCAGAGAGAUGAAACUGUGAGAGCUGAUAAGAUUUUCAACCUGAAUCCAGCCUGGAUCCCUCCACGGGACCUGAGCUGUCACCACUGACCUGGCAUGGCUAGGAGCCGGUCGGCAAGGUGGGACCUGGAAGAGUUGUUUUCCAGCCUUUUUCCAAAGGCCAGGGUUCGCUGAAGUGGAGUAGAGGCUGACCUUCUGCCUCAGUCUCUCAGAUGCUGGAUUACAGACAUGUUCCAUCAAGCCCCACCAGAUGUCCUACUUACACCGUGGCCGGAUGACCCUCUCCUGACUGCUUCCUCUGCCUUUUCCUGAACGCGCACUUCCCCAGAAGAUCUUUGCUUGUUGCGUUUACCCAUUGUCCUGCCAUGGCCAAGUGCCACGGGCAGCAUAGCUUCGACAGAAAACCAUUGUCUCAUGGUUCUGGAGGCUGGACAUCCCAGGUCAAGGUGUCGGAUGUGUUAGUUUCCUGGAUUGCAAAUGGCCACCCUCUCCCAUUUCUGGGGGAGCUGGCAGUACACCAGACCAGCAACUAUUUCAAUGGAGAAAAAUUUCUUCUCUCACUCAGCAAACACAUUUUGUUACUUGGAGGAGUGCUUCCAGGAGCACUUGGUGGUGAGUGUUAAUAAGACUCUUACAGCUGAGGGUCAACUCCUUAUGAAUAUUUUUAUCAGGCUAGCAGACGGUUCUGAUAAAGACACUUGUGCUGCAGCCAUGGUGACCUGAAUUCUCCAGAACCCGAUAAAAGGGGAGAACUGACUCCCAGAAGUUGUCCUCACUGAUGCCCCAGGGGAACUUUGAUGGGAUCUGCUUUGGUUUGUUGUUGGGACCUUAGGGAGGAGGGCAUGGAUUUGAUCAAUAGGCUGGAACCAAAGGCCUCAUGCACACUAAGUAAGAACAGCAGCACCAUGCUACACUCCUCACUUCCUUCCUUUUCAUGGUCGAAUAGUAUUCCUUUGCCUGUAUAUAUCACAUUUUAUUUAUCUAGUCAUCUACAGAUUGACAUCUGGAUAUUUUACAGUUAUUUGCUUGUAGUGAGCAAGUAUCUUUCUGAGACACCGUAUCUGUGUAUGUGCCUAGAAUGGUAAUUAUUAAGUACUUAUGGAAAUUCUACAUUUAAUCUUUUGAGGACUCACCAACUGUUUUAUAUAAGAGUAUUUUACAUUUCUAUAAGUAAUGUUUGAGGGUCUCCAUUCUGAAUUUUUCCAUCAGUAAUUUCUGUUUUGUUUAGUUUUACACCCAUUAUAAUGGGUAUGAAGUAU